UACAGAGGUCUCAGGCGUUGUUCGGAUUCAUUGGGCGUAAAGGGUGCGUAGGCGGCGCGGUAAGUCGGGUGUGAAAUCUCGGGGCUUAACUCCGAAACUGCAUUCGAUACUGCCGUGCUUGAGGACUGGAGAGGAGACUGGAAUUUACGGUGUAGCGGUGAAAUGCGUAGAUAUCGUAAGGAAGACCAGUGGCGAAGGCGGGUCUCUGGACAGUUCCUGACGCUGAGGCACGAAGGUCAGGGGAGCAAACGGG
rnacentral:rRNA from 1 species